CAGAGAUCAUGCCCUCACGGGUAGACCUCCCACCCUGUGUAAUUUACUCUUGUUGCUUUGGCAGGCCGCCUUCGGGCUCCCGGCUCCGGCUGGGGUGCGCCUGCCAGAGGACCUCAACUCUUUGUUUUAGUGUCGUCUGAGUACUAUAUAAUAAGUUA
rnacentral:misc_RNA from 1 species